rnacentral:piRNA from 1 species
AAAUGGUAGAGCGCUCGCUUAGC